AUUAUAAAUUUUUGGAAAGUGGGCGUACCGACGCCCACUUAUGGUUACAUGUGUAUAUCUUGGUAACCGCUGCCCCAAUUUCUCCCAAACUUGGCACACUUAUUGG